CCUACGGGUGGCAGCAGUGGGGCAUAUUGGUCAAUGGGCGCAAGCCUGAACCAGCCAAGUCGCGUGAGGGAUGACGGUCCUAUGGAUUGUAAACCUCUUUUGCCGGGGAGCAAGGCCCGCCACGUGUGGCGGGAAGGAGAGUACCCGACGAAAAAGCAUCGGCUAACUCCGUGCCAGCAGCCGCGGUAAUACGGGGGAUGCGAGCGUUAUCCUGAUUAAUUGGGUUUAAAGGGUGCGUAGGCGGAAGGUUAAGUCAGCGGUAAAAUGUCGGUGCUCAACACCGGCCUGCCGUUGAAACGGGGCUUCUUGAGUGAGCGAGAGGUAUGCGGAAUGCGUGGUGUAGCGGUGAAAUGCAUAGAUAUCACGCAGAACUCCGAUUGCGAAGGCAGCAUACCGGCGCUCAACUGACGCUGAGGCACGAAAGCGUGGGGAUCGAACAGGAUUAGAUACCCGAGUAGUC
rnacentral:rRNA from 1 species